GCAAUGGACGAAAGUCUGACCGAGCAACGCCGCGUGAGUGAAGAAGGUUUUCGGAUCGUAAAGCUCUGUUGUAAGUCAAGAACGUGUGUGAGAGUGGAAAGUUCACACAGUGACGGUAGCUUACCAGAAAGGGACGGCUAACUACGUGCCAGCAGCCGCGGUAAUACGUAGGUCCCGAGCGUUGUCCGGAUUUAUUGGGCGUAAAGGGAGCGCAGGCGGUCAGGAAAGUCUGGAGUAAAAGGCUAUGGCUCAACCAUAGUGUGCUCUGGAAACUGUCUGACUUGAGUGCAGAAGGGGAGAGUGGAAUUCCAUGUGUAGCGGUGAAAUGCGUAGAUAUAUGGAGGAACACCAGUGGCGAAAGCGGCUCUCUGGUCUGUCACUGACGCUGAGGCUCGAAAGCGUGGGUAGCGAACAGGAUUAGAUACCCUGGUAGUCCACGCCGUAAACGAUGAGUGCUAGGUGUUAGGCCCUUUCCGGGGCUUAGUGCCGGAGCUAACGCAAUAAGCACUCCGCCUGGGGAGUACGACCGCAAGGUUGAAACUCAAAGGAAUUGACGGGGGCCCGCACAAACGGUGGAGCAUGUGGUUUAAUUCGAAGCAACGCGAAGAACCU
rnacentral:rRNA from 1 species